UUUUCUUUUUCUGUUUGUGAGCAAAGGUUCCCCCUCGGGCAGAAGAAAUCACCAUUCCAGCUGAUGUCACCCCUGAGAGAGUCCCAACACACAUUGUGGAUUACUCAGAAGCCGAACAGAGUGAUGAGCAACUUCAUCAAGAAAUAUCACAGGCUAAUGUCAUCUGCAUAGUUUAUGCUGUUAAUAAUAAACAUUCUAUUGAUAAGGUAACAAGUCGAUGGAUUCCUCUUAUAAAUGAAAGAACAGACAAAGACAGCAGG